UGGCUAGGAGCUUACAGCACACAGAGAGAGCAAGUAUGGGGGAUUGAUCGGCAUCUUUCUAACAGUAUUAAACCAGCUGUUUCCAGCAUUUUCCGACUUGAAUUUGCUGGGUUUUUUAUAACUCUGAACUAGUAGUCUCUCAGCAUGUCAAGUUGAGAAAGCUAUUGCUCCUUAGUGCAUGGUUUUUACCAAAGAUUAAUUCGACAUAGUAAGUGGCUAAUGGCCAAAUAAUUGGAAAAUGGUUAGCAUGAUUCCAAAUUAAUUGAUCCCAGAGCUGUUGUGUGUAGCAUAACAAGUGUAUUGUUGUA
rnacentral:misc_RNA from 1 species